CAAUUGCUCCAAUUUGAUAACAUUAAAGUCAAAGCAAAACUUAAAUACUUGUGACGCAAUAGCCAAAUUGUUGUAUCUAUCGUCCUCGUAGACAGUCGUAACUCCUAGGGCAACACGGCUUUUCGACAUCCAAUUUGAAGCAGUGUCCACCCACAAUUACGUUGCGACUGCGCCACAUUUCCGUUUUGACCAAAUUUCAGAGCUUGUGAUUGACUUGCGCUACGCUUUUAUGUUCGACUGGGACAAGUGAAAAUGAAUUUUCAUUCCGGAAUACGCAAAAAAAAAAAAAGGAGAAAAGGCCCACAGAUCGAAAGUCAACGAAAAAUGUCUUGUGUUAUAAAAACUAAUGAUUGGCAAUUGGUUUUUACUGUUAUUGCCGCGCCCUGUUUCCUUGUUGGGCACAAAGGCGUGGCAACGUGGAACUCAAAUUGGAAUGGUAUUGAAGCCGAAAGAGAGAGAGAGAGAGAGAGAGUUCUACGCAUUGUCUUGCAAUACGCAUAAUUUCCAGCCGCGUGCACUUGCAGGAAAAUCAUCUUGCUACAUCUUAAUUGUUUGCGCUUCCGUUCGAGAUGCUACAUUAAUUUCGAAGUAAAUCCCAUGGUCGCCUUUAACUAGCGAAGAGUAACUGUAUCCAUAUAAUGCGAGCCAGGCCUUCAACAAAUUCUAAUUUAUUGCAAUUAUGUGACGCAUGUCACACUCACUGCUGACCAUUGACCAGGACGCCGACACGUGACCAAUCUGCUUGCCCCGGGGCCACUGAUUGGAAAACACUAAACAGAUAGGCUAGUCGAGCGGGCGGCCAGACAGCAGCUGUCUGACCAUUCUAUAGAGAUUUAUUUUACGCUGAUAACACGCUUAAGUAAAUGCAGCGCACACACUCCGUCGUCGUGGACGUCACCCAGCUCCCAGUUCGAGUUCGUACAAUUUAAAUGGCGAUUAAAUCUGUUGGCAUUGAUGGAUGUGUCCAAGGCGGCUGCGUGGCUAGCGGGCCGACUGGCUGCCGGGCUGUUCUGUGGUCAGUCUGCAGGAUGCGGCGCCGUGUUAACACUUUUGUACAAUUGCCAAUUUUUCGCCAGCGCCUGCUGAUGAGCUAUCCUCAACAACCGAGCCUGGCCUGAGUGUGUGUGUGUGUGGGUGGGUGGGUCGCCUGGUGGGUUUGCCUGGUUGAUGGCCAGCGGUGGCUUUUGUGGUGUUGUUCUCGGCUGAAAGCCUGUUGUUGCUGUUGCUGUUGUUGUUGCUGUGAGUGGGCGGACAUUGAGUUGGGCUGGCAUGCGGCUACACUUCAAUAUUCAUUUGAACGCAUAAUUAAUAUUGACGAACAAUGUUGCCGUGUCGCUACAAUGUUUCAAGUGCACUGGGAGAAAGCUAAGCUUGCAUGAAGAUAUUUAUAAGUA